AACGAACGCUGGCGGCAGGCCUAACACAUGCAAGUCGAACGCCGUAGCAAUACGGAGUGGCGAACGGGUGAGUAACGCGUGGGUGACCUACCUUCGAGUGGGGGAUAACGUCCCGAAAGGGACGCUAAUACCGCAUAACAUCCUGCUUUUGAAUGGGUGGAGAUCAAAGCCGGGGAUCGCAAGACCUGGCGCUUGAUGAGGGGCCCGCGUCUGAUUAGCUAGUUGGUGAGGAACGGCCCACCAAGGCAACGAUCAGUAUCCGGCCUGAGAGGGCGACCGGCCACACUGGGACUGAGACACGGCCCAGACUCCUACGGGAGGCAGCAGUGGGGAAUCUUGCGCAAUGGGCGAAAGCCUGACGCAGCGACGCCGCGUGAGGGAUGACGGCCUGGU
rnacentral:rRNA from 1 species